rnacentral:rRNA from 1 species
AACACUGGGGAACCUGCCCCAUAGUCUGGGAUACCACUUGGAAACAGGUGCUAAUACCGGAUAAGAAAGCGGAUCGCAUGAUCAGCUUUUAAAAGGCGGCGUAAGCUGUCGCUAUGGGAUGGCCCCGCGGUGCAUUAGCUAGUUGGUAAGGUAAAGGCUUACCAAGGCGAUGAUGCAUAGCCGAGUUGAGAGACGUGAUCGGCCACAUUGGGACUGAGACACGGCCCAAACUCCUACGGGAGGCAGCAGUA